GUUCAGUUGGUUAAGCGUCUGACUUCAGCUCAGGUCAUGAUCUCGGGGUUCGUGGGUUCGAGCCCCACACUGGGCU
rnacentral:tRNA from 1 species